rnacentral:lncRNA from 1 species
GUAAGCGGAUGGGCUCGGCCUCAAGGACAGGGUGCUCGGCUGAAAAAAAAGCUAGCGGCGAUCACCGGUGCCAGGGCUCUCCAGAAACGGAGCCCAUCUAACCAAUGCCCAGCACACUCGCUCUGCUCCACACACGAGACCACCUCCGACCCGCACUAAGUUGGCCAACUGCACUCUGGAGGCGGCGGCAGCCAGCGAGGGAGAAGGGAAAGGCUGUCCCGGGACCCCGAGGAGGACUGCCCCGCCCCCGGGAACCGGGUGCGGCGUAAAACAACCCCGGCUCCGGGCCGACCCUUCCUGGCCCCUUGGAGGCCCAGGCGGGGCGGCGGGGGGCGACGCGGCAGGGGUCUCCGCGCCCAGGCUCCCGCGGAGCGGCCACACGUGGAGGUUCCCACUUUGGGGUCGCGGCCGCAGCAGCACCGGGCGGGAUGCUGUCCGCGCUGCCCGCGUACGGCCGCGGCCUGAGUGGAGACGCCUGCCCCCAGCCCCGAGGCCUCGGCCCCCGUCCGCCCUCUCUCCCUGCUCGGCGGCCUCGUACUCACGCUGACUUCAUGGCAGCAGGCUCCACGCCGCCCAAACGCGCAUGCGGGACGGCUGGCUGGCGAAGACUGCGGGACGUUAGGACCGGCAGCAAGAACUAGAACUUCGCGGCUAAGGCGCGGUGCUCUGCGAAGCCGGCGGCGACGCUAAGAGCCCAGGUGAGCUCCCGCCUGGCGCAUUUCAAACGGGCCAAUCAGCGCCCGUCCGCAGGGAGAGGCAGGACCUCCGCGGAAGUGACUUCGCUGCCGGAAGUGGCGCUUGUCUCCUAGGCGACCGACGCUGAAAGGGCCGCGGAGUCGCGUGUCAGGGCUGGAGGGAGAUCUUGAGAUCACUUCAAACUUAAGUGAGCUCAGGUUCAUCUGGAGGAUGACUCGGCCUCUGUUCUCUCGUCCCACCUGACGAGAAAUACCCACAGGUGUGGAGGGGCUGGCCCCCUUCACCUGGGUCUCGACUCCUGUUUUGUUCUGCGGUUCCCAUUGCAGUGCUGUGACCCCCCAGAAGCUCAGGAAAACAACUGACUUCCUGGUGUUGCCAACAGGCAGAGAGGAGAUGCAGCCAGUCCUUACCCUGUAGAAGAUGGGGAGGGAGUCCCAGGUGUACGGAUAAGCAAAGGCGAGGACACGAAUCACCUUACAGAGUCUGGGCUUCUGGAUUUCAAGAAACCUAAAUCAGGGAAGGAAAGUGGGGAGGAAAUGGAAUGAAAAGAGUCUCAGCAAAUUGCAUACGCACAUGCAUGCACACCGAGGGCCUGGUCAUCAACAGAGGACAAGCAUUUUUCUACAAGCUCCUGUGGCCAGCAGCUUCUCCACCAGCCUCGUCCAUUCCUCCCACCCCAAUGGAAGUGACAAAACUUCAGAUGCAAAAAGAUCUCCAGGGACACCAUCUCCUGACCAUGGGAAGCAGUGGUGUCCAGACUAAGCCAGAAAGGAGGCGCUGGGCAGAAACCCUUCAAGGGCCAAGUUAUGUAACUGCCAAAGAACCUUUUAAAACUCUAGUUGCUACAGGGACAGGGAACGGGUAGGGGGAAUCGGGGGAUCCACUGCCACAGACUCUUGGGGGGCACACUCUGCAGAGGCUGAGAUGCACCCAUCUAGUUGGAGCCCAGGUAUUAUCAUGCAGGAGACCUGGGUUCAAGUAGGUGUUUGACCCUUGGAGAGCUUUCUGGAAUAUUUAUACCACACACAGGGAUACUUGGCUUGGGAAAACUAAAUAAACGUGAAGUCUUUCCUUCUCUUCU